rfam:Gossypium raimondii Chr09_contig_741, whole genome shotgun sequence.
UAUUAAAAAUUUCAUUCAUUUUUACAGUUAAAAAUUUGACUGACAGAAUAAUUAGACAUCUACACAUGGUGUGCCAUCAUGUUGACCUAUAGAAACCAAUUUUUAACAGUGAAAAAGAAUGGAAGUUUUAACA